CCUGUCGCCCCUCAGAGCCCUGAGGCGGGCGGGAGCCGUGAGGGGGCACCUGGGGCAGCGCCCGGCGAGGUGGGAAUGGCGCCAGCGCCCGGCACCAUCGUCCUCCGUCCCCCUCAGCGCCUGCGGCCGCCUCCACACCCCGUGCCCUGAGAGGGGAGGCAUGAGGGAGAGAACGCUGUGUCCCCUCCGCGUCCCCUCGGACACCUUCGCGGUGAGGUGGGCUCAGCCCUGCAGACAGAAAGCGGACAAAGAAUCCCCCGAGUGCAGCCACUGACUCCGAUUUCUAUUAUCUCAACACCCACUUUGUUCCCUAUGGUCAUCACUUUCUAAAAACUGGGACAAAAACAUCUCUCCAAGAGGCUGGCGGAUGCUUUUGGCACAUCUAGGCAGUGCCAGGACUCCAUUCCAGCCUAACAAAGCAUCAGCCACAUAGAAGCGUACUUCCUGCAGAUUUCAGAGCACUUAAAAUCACCUCAGACCACUUAACUUCACAGAGAUAAAAUCUUCUCACUGCAGUGGCACUAUGUGCCGCAUUAGACCUUAUUGCUAGGAGAGGGAACUUUAACAUGAAAACAAACCCCUUAAUGUUAUCCUUAAAAAAAAAAAAAACAAACAAAACAUUAAAAUCUUAGAAGAGCCCAAAAUGCAAUUCAAGCACCCAGAGAUCACCAAUGGCCACACGUGUGCACGCUGUGCUGCAGCCUGUGAUACUGCGUUGUGUCCUCAGUGACUCGCAGCAUCAUUUCAAACCCAUCAGCAUGCCAGGAGCUGCUUUAAGGGAGAUGCCAACAGUUUUCACCAUUGCUCUUUCCUCUUUUUCCCUUCCCCACCCUCCCCCAAAGAGCCAGCUUUCACACAAAACCCGUUUUUCUUCAGGUUGCUCUGAAGAAGAUGCUGUUUUGACAGACUCGUGCAUUUUCCCUCUCGCGAGUUCAUGGAAGCCCUGCCAAAGAAAGUGAUAUAUGGCCAGAAAGAGACCCUCAACCUCACCCUAAUUAGAAGCCUUCACUAUUCAGCAGGGUUUCAAGAGGACAGAAGCCUGAGGCAGCUGGAUGGGAAUACGAACCAUACCAUGCUCCAGCAGCUUUCUCAUAUUCAUCCAGUGACCGAGAUCCAUCUGUUUAUCAUCAGCUGCAUUACAGUCGGAGACAAAGUGUAUUGUUAAUAGGGUGUGUUUGAGAGAAAAGUCACAAGGAAGUGCCCUAAACUAAGUGAUUUCUGAAAGUAAUGGCUACGGAGCACAUACCACACAGUAGCACAGUGCUAAUGGAUAUUUUUCUUCAGUCAUGGCCAUUAACUGUGUGGUUCUGCCAGAAAGAUCCAAAAAUAAAAUAGAAGGGGUGGCAAAGCACCUUAUCUAGAUAAGAUAUUUCAGUUUCUAAUUAGUUCUAUCUUUGAUUCCUUUUUCUUGUGAGGAAGACAGGAUUGGUCAUACAUUAUCAGUAGAACAGCUCCUUUUGGCCACAAGCUUGUCCCUGACACUAACAUUGGACAAUGCUUCAGAGCAUGCUGAACGUUCUCCAAGAAACAUGAUUACAUAAACCAGUUCCAAAGCAUUAAUUAGUUUGCUUCAUCACCCUCACUCAAGUUCCUGUCUCUAAAAUAACAAGUCAUGAAUUAUCACAUAUGACUGUUAAAAUAUAUGAGUGGCUAUUAUCACAUACUGCAUGUUGUCUAGAAGCUGGGGGUUGUGCUUUUAGGGCCAUAAUCCUGUUCUGUUCAGCACUGUAUGGAAAGGAGAAGCAACCAGGACACACCACCACAUUUUCACUAAGGCACUGUGAAAAUGCAGCUGACCUGAUGCCACCGAGAGACAUCCCACACAGAGUUUGGAGACUGGAUCAGUGGAGAGCAACAGAUUCCCUGCUGCUGAAAAAGCACUCAGUGGCCAUCAAAAAGCCCAGUGAAGAUGAGCAACAGAGGACAAGGACAUCCUUCCAUCUGCUCCCGCUCUGGAGCAGAGGUACAUCCAAAAUGCUGCAGCUCUGCAAUCCUUCUCUCCUUCUGGGACAGUUUCUGUGGUAAGAUUUACAGCCUAAAAGGUAUCACUGAAGUCAUAACUACAAAGAUGGGCAGCUACAACAGGAAGGAGGAGAAACAAAAGUAUUUUACUGGGUUCAAGCUUUGCAGAUGGUGAGAACAAGAAGCAAAAGUCAUGCUCACAGUUAAAGCUAAUGAAAUUCUGCAAUCCCCAUGGGAAACUCAGAAACACAGGCAUGGAACGCAGAACUGCUUCUUGAUUUCAUUUAUUUUGUGAUACUUUGGUUACAUGUUCAAAUGCAACACAUGGAUGGAGUGCAGGGACUGACUUUCCUCAGGUGCUGCUGGAAACAUCCCAUUUUUGGUUCAUAGCACUUGCAGUGGUGUGUCUUAAGGCAGAGAGGUAAGGAAGGAGAGCACCUCUAACACAGAGAGAGGCAUGAGCAUCCCAAUUUAGACACUGUCCAUCUGCCCCAAUCCAGUUUUUGAUAAUUGUUAAUAACAUUGCAAGAGCAUCUCUUUGUAUCUUCUUCAUAGGCAUCCAUAGCCCUCCAUUAGCAAGAUAAGAUUAAACAACAGCCACUUCUAUCUUUAUGUGGUAAAACAAGCUUCUGUAUUUAAGAUAAACUUUACAGGACAGGUGGCUUCCUAGAAUGGAAUAUCCCCAAGAAAACAUUUAACUACCCUACAUAAAUGUCAACAAGGUAUGAGAAGAGUGCACCUAAUAAAGGAGAUAGAGGCUACAAUAAAAAGGGGCCCUAAAUCAAAGAGCAGGUUCACACCAGCAAACACUCACUCACACACUGGGCUGAUUGGAACAGGGCCCUCAGCAUUGCUGCCAGCCCAGCAGCUCUCCUGGUGUGGCUUUCCCUGCCUUUGCUUGGAGGUUUGACCCACACCAUCACCUUGCUGGGGUUGUGGCCGGGACUGCAUCCACAAAACUGCCCAUGCGGGUUCUGGAUUGGGAGCUCGGUGUGCACUCCUACCUUUAUCGGCCCUUAAAAAAAAAAAAAAACGGAAAAAAAAAAAGGGGGGGGGAACGCAGAGCAAACAUUAUCUAUUGUUAAUUACCUGUAAAGUAGGGCUUUUGCCACUUCCCCAGUUUCUAAGAGCUCUGAAGUGAAACCUGAAAGAAGCCACCCAUUGUUUCCAAUUGUGCAAGAGCCAGGAGCAAAUAGGGCUCAAAUUGCAGCUCUGAAAGGCAGCAGGAAAUUGGCAGCCCGGUAAUCUGCUCCCCACCAUUCAGGGGAACAAAGGCGACAUUCCUCCUCAAGUAGUCACCAUUAGAAACCCAAGGCUGAUCUAUUUAGUAAGGCCCACAGAAUAAAUCUGUGGAAAUAAAGAGUUUUAAUUAGAAGGCCAUAGGAUAUGGCUCUGGUUUCCAGCCCUGCAAGUAACAUGUAUUAUUUAGGCUCUUACCUCGUUUCCCACAUAUCCAGACGCUGACACCCAGACAUCAGCACCGCUGCCAUUGAAAAAAAAAACCUCCAAAAACUAAUAAAUGUGUAAACUGUUCAUUACAGGUGGAUCAUACCAUACAGUGUGCUGUACCAAGAACGUUUCCAAUUGGUCCCUGUCUUGGGAUUAUAUAUUUUCCCCCUAGAGUAUUAACAAUCCUUCUAACCCACCACACCCUCCCCAUCUAUGGCAUGUUUUAAAUAUUCUCCAGAAAGUGCUAGUUUCCAGAAGGAUGGGGUUUCUCCCUCCCUCCCAUCCAUCCAUCCAUCCAUCCAUCCAUCCAUCCAUCCAUCCAUCCAUCCAUCCCUCUGCACAGAAUGACUCAGUAAUUAAACACUGCUGGUCAAAGGCUCCUGGUUGUGCCAGUGCCUCAGAGUGUGGCUCCAGCCCUCCAGCCCAAGUUUUCCCAGCAGCCAAAGAGAAGCGUUUCCUUCGGAGCUGUUCUGUCAGGCACAGUUCAUUUAAGAGAAUUUAAGUCCAAGUGCAAAAUGCUCUGAGACACCUCGCAAUUUUUGCCACCUGAACAGGUAAAGUUGUCCCAACCCCAGUGUGUUAGAACUGCCAGGAGGGAGAGCAGAUGAGGUUAACUUUUCCAGGGGAUUUACCUGCACCUGGCAGCAGUGCUGGAUAACUCUGGGACUACCAUGGCAAGUGCUUCUGCUCCAGUACAGGGCAAGGGAUGGAAAGUGAGGAUACAAGAACACAGGCCCUAGAACUCCGGGUUUGAAAGCCCAUACAAAAAUCUCUGUGGAGACUCCAGAAUGGCACCUUCCAUUGCUACCCCUUGCUCCAGAGAGACCCCUUGGCUAUUCAACACAGCAGAACAGGUGCAUUUUCAGUUCUAACAGUGUUUCCUCACAUACUCUUGGCAGAUCAGUAAAUUCAAGCCCAAGUACAGCCAAAGUUUGGCAAAGUUCAUACCUAGAGUUGAAUUUCAGAACAGAACAACUUCAUGACAUCCAGCUAUCCUGUAUUUCCUGCCCUGACUAACUGGGUUUAUCCUCACCUUGAAUUGGAUGAGAUACAGCACAUGUAAAAAUGUAUUAAAUCAAAAAGUGUCUUAGUGACAGCACAGGUGCUCCUGUAGUCAUAGCACAUUUCAUCCAGAAAAGCUUUGCAUGCCAUCUAGAAAAAUGGACAGUUAUUCCCUAAAAGGAAGGGGUCAGGUAAAUGAGACUGGAUUUAGGUAAGACUUUGGUAUAAAAAGAAGGUACUGUGCAAUCUCCCAGUACCCAGGUUAGAGAAAAGCUCCAGCACUUCCCCUUCCUUUCAGGCAAUUAGUUUAUAAAUUUUUAUCUGCAAGUGUGCUACUCCUAAAGUGCACAGAUCCAAAAACAACAAAUCAGACAUCACACAAGAAACAAAGCUUUGGAGAGAACCUUCACCAGGUCACGUAAAUUCAUCUCUUCCUCCUGCUUGGAGUAUGGAAGAGGAAUCCUCACAGCACUGCAAGAACUCUCAGGCAGUUUGGAAAUUGAAGUGUGUGCCAGAGAACAGGAGGUUUCAUUUAAAACAGCCAUGGAGUGGUUAAUCAGUUAUGUAAUACCAGCCUAUUUAGGGAGCUCCAGCUCCUUCUCACAGUCACUUUAUCCCACAAACUAAGGACAUCCUAACAUUUAUGAGCACUGGCCAUUCCUGUCACCCAGCCAGCUCAUUCACUGGUGUAAAUCCAUCAGCUCCAUUCAGAAGAAAUAUUCCAUGGAAUAAACCCGCUCAUACUCCGGCAGCGACCCUGCGGGGUCAGGCAGGAUGUCCCAUUGUGCUCCUUCUUGCACAAACACAAUGGGGUUCAGCCCCUGGGGGCAGAGCCUCUGUCAGGCUGUUUGUGCCUCCUGACAUCGUGUUCUGCAGGAUGUUUGUUUUCAGGUCGGGGCACCGAAGGUGUAGACAAAGCUUCACAAAACAGGGCCGUGCUUACAAGGCCAGAGCCACGGCUAUCAGGCACACCUUUCUCCAAGGACUGUACCAAAAGGAUGUUUCUCUGCUCCAAUAAAGAGCUACCACACUUUCAAGCUAAUUUUGGAAUAUGUACUUCUCCUGGAAGCACACUCUGUCUCUUAUAAUGCUGCCCCAUGCAUGUAUCAGGAAUACUGAGAAAUCCUGGUGAAUUUCUGGUUCUUUUCUGAUGCUAAAAUCAAAUGUUAUUUAUUAAGACUCUUGUCUCAUCCAUACAUACUUAAACUGAAAAGCCAAGCCAUGUGUGGUUUGCAGGGAAACUUUCCCCAAUUUGUAUUUAUUGGUCAGUAAAUGAGGCAGUAUCUCAAGACACCUUCAGCAAGGAGGGGUGGGAAUGGCAGCUCCUGGGAAAACCAACUGCACUGCAUCCAUUUAUCACAAAUACAAACUGAGGGGUAAAUGCCACUCUGGAGAUCACACAGUUUUUGAGCAGAUCCUUCCAGUGAGCAGAAAGCUCCUUACCACGGGCUCCCCAUGGCUGGGUACCUAAUGCCAAGGGGAGAAGCCAUGCCUUGGCUCCUCCCACUAGCCAGAGGAAGGCGAAACACAGCCACAGGGAAGAACUACAAAUGAUUAAGAACUGCCCCAAAAGCAAACCGCCCUCCAAAUGCAGGGUCAUCAGAACAAGAGCUGUGCAGCCCCAUGUGCUGUGUAAGAAGGCUGGUAAAUCCAGCUGUGUGAGAGCAGAACAGAAUUUAUUCCAGGUUUUUUGAAGCACUACCAUAUGACUGACACAAAUGCUGCAGCUGGAAGAAAGCCAACAAUUAAUCAGGAUUCCUUAGAAUUUGGAGGCAAUUUUAGCAGAACAAGAAAUGCAGAAGUAUCAGUGAAUCCUGAAGAAGAUUUUUCCUCCAGGACAAAAAUCUAUUACUUCAUAUAAGUCCAUUAAAACACUUCAUCUAGCCCCUUUAAUCCCUUUUAACAGAUUUGCUUUAUCACAGACAGAGGAGCUAAUCCUCUCCUACCUGUCUUUAUGAUAUGGAACCAUAAA